CCUAGGUUGGUGAUUUAGGAAGUUGAAAACUGUCUCUGGGAGAAAUGGACUGUGUGUGACUUUUUUUUUUUUAAAUCUAUGUAAAGCCUAGUUGCAUCUUUUUGGAUUGUUGAUUAUUUCAUUUUUACGUUUUCUCUGUUUGUAGAUGUCAGGGGAGUGUUUACAUUUACAAGAGGAGGAGUUUAGAGGUAUGACUUGGUAUACAUAAUAAUAGAUUGUUUUAAUGUCUGCG